GACGAACGCUGGCGGCGCGCCUAACACAUGCAAGUCGAACGAGCGAGAGAGAGCUUGCUUUCUCAAGCGAGUGGCGAACGGGUGAGUAACGCGUGAGGAACCUGCCUCAAAGAGGGGGACAACAGUUGGAAACGACUGCUAAUACCGCAUAAGCCCACGACCCGGCAUCGGGUAGAGGGAAAAGGAGCAAUCCGCUUUGAGAUGGCCUCGCGUCCGAUUAGCUAGUUGGUGAGGUAACGGCCCGCCAAGGCGACGAUCGGUAGCCGGACUGAGAGGUUGAACGGCCACAUUGGGACUGAGACACGGCCCAGACUCCUACGGGAGGCAGCAGUGGGGAAUAUUGCACAAUGGGGGAAACCCUGAUGCAGCGACGCCGCGUGGAGGAAGAAGGUCUUCGGAUUGUAAACUCCUGUUGUUGAGGAAGAUAAUGACGGUACUCAACAAGGAAGUGACGGCUAACUACGUG
rnacentral:rRNA from 1 species